AUUGAACGCUGGCGGCAGGCCUAACACAUGCAAGUCGAACGAGUGGCGGACGGGUGAGUAAUGUCUGGGAAACUGCCCGAUGGAGGGGGAUAACUACUGGAAACGGUAGCUAAUACCGCAUACCAUCGGAUGUGCCCAGAUGGGAGUAGCUUGUUGGUGGGGUAACGGCUCACCAAGGCGACGAUCCCUAGCUGGUCUGAGAGGAUGACCAGCCACACGGGAACGGAGACACGGUCCAGACUUCUACGGGAGGCAGCAGUGGGGAAUAUGGCACAAUGGGCGCAAGCCUGAGGCAGCCAUGCCGCGUGUAUGAAGAAGGCCGUCGGGUUGUAAAGUACUUUCAGCGGGGAGGCGUUACCCGCAGAAGAAGCACCGGCUAACUCCGUGCCAGCAGCCUCGGUAAUAC
rnacentral:rRNA from 1 species